AUGGCAGCCCCAGGCCAUCCGAUCUGUCACCGCCGCCGUUCUUUUGGUCGAGGGCCGCCGUCGUCCACGUGCUCCUCAUCACCCCCACGGCUGGACGCUGGCGAGGUCAACCUCCCCUCCAAGCGCGGGUACUUCCCCGCUCCUUUUCCGUGCUCUCUCUCUUCCCCUGAUAUAUCUCUUUGUUGUACAGGGAAGCAAAUUUGUUCAAUUCUCAGUCUAGAUUUAAUGAAGAAAACUGCGGUUCAUACAACGCCAAUGGAUAUGGAUCCAUCUUGCUGCGCUGGAUAUGGAUCCAUCCUGCUGAUUUGGAAGAAAACUGCAGUUCAUACAAUGCUAAUUAUGGAUAUGGAUCCAUCUAAUACAGUUCUUCACAAAGCCCAAGAAUCGCAAGGCCAUGUACAUGGUUCAAUUGCUUUCGGGGUCAUACUUUUCCUGGUCCUUAUUGGCUGGCCUGACUUCGGCAUGAUGGCGGAGUCGUAUGGCUUUGCCCUGCUAUUCUGGUUAUCCUCUAUUGUGCAUUAA
rnacentral:rRNA from 1 species